CCUACGGGUGACAGCAGUGGGGGAUAUUGCACAAUGGGGGGAACCCUGAUGCAGCGACGCCGCGUGGGUGAAGGAGCGUUUCGGCGCGUAAAGCCCUAUCGGCAGGGAAGAAGAUGACGGUACCUGACCAAGAAGCCCCGGCUAACUACGUGCCAGCAGCCGCGGUAAUACGUAGGGGGCAAGCGUUAUCCGGAUUUAUUGGGUUUAAAGGGAGCGUAGGCCGCAUGUCAAGCGUGCUGUGAAAUGUCCGGGCUCAACCCGGGCCUUGCAGCGCGAACUGGCGUGCUUGAGUCCGCGGAAAGCAGGCGGAAUUCGUCGUGUAGCGGUGAAAUGCUUAGAUAUGACGAAGAACCCCGAUUGCGAAGGCAGCUUGCUGCAGCGGAACUGACGCUGAUGCUCGAAAGCGCGGGUAUCGAACAGGAUUAGAUACCCCUGUAGUC
rnacentral:rRNA from 1 species